rnacentral:lncRNA from 1 species
UCUGAGUCUUAUCCCAACUAUUUGGAGUUGGCUACAUGGAUUGUGUUCCGCCAUUCCACUCUAUAAAGGGUUAUGCCUUCAGUCAGACCAUAAGUCAUUGUAUUUUUUCUCACUUCUUCCAUCUAUGUCCUUUUGGGCCUUCCCUUUGCCCUUUUAGUACUUUCCACUCGAACUAAAUCAGCCCUCAUAACCGGUGAUGGUCUAAGCUGCACAUGGCCAGACCACCUAAGUCUACUUUUCAUCAUCGUAUCGCCUAUUGGAGCUACCCUAAGUUCCUUCAGGCUCUAUUGGAGCUACAUCUAACGACCUUUUUCCAAUAGUGAUAGUUCUGAUCUUGCUCCUCCUUUUGGAAUUACAUUAUCGGAGUCGAGCUAGGAAUGGCCGAAGUGAGUGGACACAACUUUUCACAGGUAGAGUGGUAGCUCAGAGGAGCAAAGAAGCUUGCCUAUCUGAACCAAGCAGCAAACAAUCUCAAUG